rnacentral:rRNA from 1 species
GAUGAACGCUGGCGGCGUGCCUAAUACAUGCAAGUCGAGCGAACAGACGCGGAGCUUGCUCCUCUGACGUUAGCGGCGGACGUGUGAGUAACACGUGGAUAACCUACCUAUAAGUCUGGGAUAACUUCGGGAAACCGGCGCUAAUACCGUAUAAUAUAUUGAACCGCAUGGUUCAAUAGUGAAAUACGGUUUUGCUGUCACUUAUAGAUGGAUCAGCGCCGCAUUAGCUAGUUGGUAAGUUCACGGCUUUCCAAGGCAAGGAUGCGUAUCCGACCUGAGAGAGUGGUCGGCGACACGGGAACUGAGCCGGGGACCAGAGGCCUGCGGGAGGGAGCAGACGGCAAUCGGACGCAGUAGGCGAAAACCUGGCGGAGCGAGGCGACGCGAGUGAUGACAACGUUGGGAGCGGAAUACCGGGUUAUUAGGGAUAAACAAAUGUGGCAGUAAACAAGGCGGUCUUGACGGUAACGAGUAAGAAAGCAACGGCUAACUACGUG